rnacentral:misc_RNA from 1 species
UACACCCUCACCCCUCCCACCUUGUGUGGGUUGGUUGGCUUGCUAGCCAGCCUAGGGGUGGAUCUGGCUUCCCCAAUGCGCUUUUGCGGGUUGGGUUGGCUGAAGUGUAGAGGCUUAAACAAGGACCCGAUAUGGGCUGCAACUGGAUAGGUAGCACCGGCUUCUGCCGACUACACGAAGUUGUAGCUUGUGGACUUUGUUAGGGGCCCAGCAGGAAACGUGCUUGCACGUUCUAAAU